CGCCAUCAGAGCUGCGCCCGCACCAGCCAACAAACAGCAGCUUCGCUCACUGCUCGGAGCUAUCAACUACAACGGCAAGUUUCUCCCACGUCUAGCGACGAUGGCACACCCACUGUACAGACUCCUGCGUGAAGACCAGACCUGGUCGUGGACCCGUGUCUGCCAGAACGCCUUCGACGACAUCAAGAACGCCCUGGCUUCCACGAAGGUCCUGGCCCACUACGAUCCGAAGAUGCCCCUUCAACUGGCCUGAGACGCGUCACAGUACGGGGAUGCGGAACUCAAGCCAUUUUUCAACAGGCGGACCCAGCUCACACUGCAUCACGGAUAUCUCCUCUGCGGCAUGCGUGUUGUCGUACCCCCAAAGCUCCGGCCUCUGGUUCUUCAAGAGCUCCACGACGGACAUCCUGGUCUGUGAAGGUUCAAGCGUCCCGUGGCCCCGCAGUGUGGCAUCGUCAUCAAGAUCAGCUGCUGCGCAGUGUUCCCACUGCCCAGCGUCAACCAAGAGCAGCAGGCAGAGGACACCUCGUGGGAGUGCUCUUCUACACCGGCUGCCAGCGGCACCCCUCACGUGACCGGCAGUCCUCGAGCACCCUUUCCUCAAGCAACGCCUGCUGAGAUUCCUGGAAGUCCGCAAGCGGCACCAGCCACCGUUUCGCCGCCUCCUGCUCCCAGAUACCCCACAAGAACCCGAAGACCUCCGGACCGCUAUUCCCCGACAUGGCACUGUUUAAGCGGGAGGGAAUGUUAUAGAUAGCGGCGCAGCCGAUAACAGUUUAUCAAAAGCCGCGUGUGCUCACGUGGUCCCGGCAGCUUCUAGAAAAGCAAGAGCUCUCGCUCCUUGCACUUUUUCUCACGCUUGGUACUGGUUAAGUUGCACCAUGUAGUAAU